AGCUUUGUGCAGGGGCAGUAUCAUAGCCAAUGAUGUUUAUCUGAGGCACAAUUAUUACUAAUUGAAAACUUUUCCCAGUACCCCCCGUGACGACUUGAAAUAUAGUUGUCUUGGCAAUUUUUGAUAGUCUCCACAGAGA
rnacentral:snRNA from 1 species